CACUUGCUCCCUCCGUUCCGAAUUACUUGUCUUGUAUUUGUCUAGAUAUGAAUGUAUCUACACUUUUUUUAGUGCUAGAUACCUCCGUAUCUAAAUAAAUCUAAAACAAGUAAUUCGGAACGGAGGGAGGACCUU
rfam:Triticum aestivum genome assembly, contig: Triticum_aestivum_CS42_TGACv1_scaffold_093693_2AL